GAUGAACGCUGGCGGCGUGCUUAACACAUGCAAGUCGAGCGAAGCACUUAAGUUUGAUUCUUCGGAUGAAGACUUUUGUGACUGAGCGGCGGACGGGUGAGUAACGCGUGGGUAACCUGCCUCAUACAGGGGGAUAACAGUUAGAAAUGACUGCUAAUACCGCAUAAGACCACAAGGUCGCAUGACCCGGUGGUAAAAACUCCGGUGGUAUGAGAUGGACCCGCGUCUGAUUAGCUAGUUGGUGGGGUAACGGCUCACCAAGGCGACGAUCAGUAGCCGACCUGAGAGGGUGACCGGCCACAUUGGGACUGAGACACGGCCCAAACUCCUACGGGAGGCAGCAGUGGGGAAUAUUGCACAAUGGGGGAAACCCUGAUGCAGCGACGCCGCGUGAAGGAUGAAGUAUUUCGGUAUGUAAACUUCUAUCAGCAGGGAAGAAAAUGACGGUAC
rnacentral:rRNA from 1 species